AUUCCGUGAUGAGGGCACUUUCGUAAUAACUCUUUGAAUCUUUCCCAUGCCUCAUACAAGGACUCAUCAUCCAUUUUUUGGAAAGCAGUAAUCUCAUUUCUCAGCUU
rfam:Gossypium hirsutum cultivar TM-1 chromosome 6, whole genome shotgun sequence